rnacentral:lncRNA from 1 species
UCUGCAGUACCAGGACACAGGUUUGAUCCCUGGCCAAGCACAGUGGGUUAAAGGAUCUGGCGUUGCUGCAGCCUGGGUAGAGUUCUCUGUGCUAUAGAUUAGGACCUUGUUUGUGCAUUUUAAGUGUAAUAGUUUGCAUCUACUAAACCCAAACCUUUUCUACUUCUUACUACUGUAAGGGCUUGAUGUAGGUCUUCCUCCUGAUUCAUGGAAGACAGUUUUCCUCCAUGAAGAGAACUCAGGAUAUUUCCACCUUUUGAUUCUACCAUCUCUUGGGGCCUCUGAAUUUGCUGUCUCCAGAUCAUAUGCUUAAAAGCUUCUGGAUGGAGAUGACAUAGUCUUUCUUGUUCAUCUUCCUUUGUUAGGAACUAGUUCUGUAGACAAACAGGAAAUGUAUCUCUGAUUGGGCAACUACCUCCCAGGAUCAACACCAUGAAGUGAAAUAGAGAGGGCACACUUUUGCUGGACAGUUAGCCAUCAAUGCCACAGAAGAUUAAAACUAUGACUACCCCAAAGAUAACACAUGUGAUGCUAUUUAAUAAUAAAGCAAUAACCAGGGCGAUGCAGGAUUUCACAGGGAAGUUUUUAAUAGCGUGAACCCAUGUAUGCAAAGGAUCAAGCUGUGUUCAGGACUGCCCACUCCUCUGAUUGGUUAUGCUUUGGUAUCCUGUCUACCUCGGUCCUCAUCUGAUCACCUAGGAGACUUAAGCUCAAAGCAGCGUUUACUAACAUCUUGUCUCCAAUUAAGCAUCCACUAACAGCUUCAAUGGAUUGCCUCCUGCUCUGAGGGAAAGACUUCCAGCAUCUGUUACAUCGGGGGAAGUCACAGCCUCACUCUUUCCUAGUCAGCAGCUGGUGCACUCUAGGUGAAUGGAGUUGAAAGACUCAUAGUUUCAGUAACUAUCCUGAAGAUCUGACAGCAUGCGAAAGAAAGAUCUAGUUAUGUUUUUAAAGAAUUUUUCAACUCUGAAGGAAUGGCUAAAUUAUGAAGCCCCCAUGGUUUAACUAUCAUAUUACAAAAGAUACAAUAUUGCAAGUGAAGAAACUUUCAAACAUGACCUACUAUUGAGAUUGGAACCUAUUUUUCAAAUCCUCUGUCUUUUGUCUUUUCUAAGGCCGCUCCAGAGGCAUAUGGAGGUUCCCAGGCUAGCGGUCUAAUUGGAGCUGUAGCCGCCGGCCUAUGCCACAGCCACAGUAACACUAGAUCUGAGCCCUGUGGUGUAGGUGGCAGACGCGGCUCGUAUCCCGUGUUGCCGUGGCUCUGGCGUAGGCCAGUGGCUACAGCGCCCAUUCGACCCCUAGCCUGGGAACCGCCAUAUGCUGCAGGAGCGGCCCAAGAAAAGGCAAAAAGACAAAAAAAAAAAAAGGAAUUGGAGGAGUUCCUGUCACAGUGCAGUGGGUUAAGAAUGUGACUGCAGUGGCUCAGGUCGCUGAAUAGGUGAGCAUUUGAUCCCUGGACUGACAUGGUGGGUUAAAGGAUCUGGAGUUGCUAAGUUGCAAGCAUCACAUUCCAUUGGCCAGCAUUUAAACUCAUGGCUGCACAUAACUACUUCAAGGAGGAUGAGAAAUACUGUCUUACUAGGAAAGCUGCUUAUCCAGAUAAAUGUGGGGGUUUUAUACCAGAGGAAUAAGGGAGAAGGACUAUUUGGAAACAAACAACUGUCUCUACUGCCUUGAUUCCUACUCAUAGUUUUCUGACUUCUGUCUUUGCUGCUGCACAAAAUUGUCCAUUUUCCAUUCCGGUUUCCAAAGCCUGUGACCUCUUUUCAGUCAGUAGGGCAUUUUUCCCUGAAAUGUUGUCCAAUUCUAUUGCUAUAAAUUUCCUGAAAUUCCCUAUUAGAGUUUACAAAUGCCCUUCCCUUUGUUGUAUUCUUGUAAUUGUGAGAGGCAAAAUUUUAAAGCAAUGAAUGGGUUCAUUGUCUAAUAUCUCCUACAUGUUUUUUUUUUUUUAAUUUGUUGAUGACUAGCAGCAUAAAGUAUCAACAAAGAUUUAAAUACUACAUCUUGAUUUUCAGUGAUUAUAUCAUAGAAUCAUGUAUACUAGAUCUUGUAUAUACCUUUUUCUUUCCAUAGAAUGUUAAUACUGUAAAGCUAGGGUUUUAUCUGGUCUUCAAAUGCAGUCACAAAAUAACUAAAAAUCUUUCCUGGAGUUGAAUUAUCUGUCAUGUAUCUGUCAUUUGUGUUGAUAUUAACUAAAGCUAGUUGACCAUAAUAUUCUUUUAUGCACCAAUGUUU